AUGAACGCUGGCGGCGUGCCUAAUACAUGCAAGUCGAACGAACAGACGAGGAGCUUGCUCCUCUGAUGUUAGCGGCGGACGGGUGAGUAACACGUGGAUAACCUACCUAUAAGACUGGGAUAACUUCGGGAAACCGGAGCUAAUACCGGAUAACAUGUUGAACCGCAUGGUUCAACAGUGAAAGACGGUCUUGCUGUCACUUAUAGAUGGAUCCGCGCCGCAUUAGCUAGUUGGUAAGGUAACGGCUUACCAAGGCAACGAUGCGUAGCCGACCUGAGAGGGUGAUCGGCCACACUGGAACUGAGACACGGUCCAGACUCCUACGGGAGGCAGCAGUAGGGAAUCUUCCGCAAUGGGCGAAAGCCUGACGGAGCAACGCCGCGUGAGUGAAGAAGGUCUUCGGAUCGUAAAACUCUGUUAUUAGGGAAGAACAAAUGUGUAAGUAACUAUGCACGUCUUGACGGUACCUAAUCAGAAAGCCACGGCUAACUACGUG
rnacentral:rRNA from 1 species